AUUAUUUUAGUUUAAAAUAAAACAUUAUAUUUUCAAUAUAAAAAUGAGAUUUAUUAAAACUCUUUUAAUU
rnacentral:tRNA from 1 species